AUCCAGACUCCUACGGGAGGCAGCAGUGGGGAAUAUUGGGCAAUGGGCGCAAGCCUGACCCAGCAAUGCCGCGUGAAGGAAGAAGGCUUUCGGGUUGUAAACUUCUUUGACAGGGGAAGAGCAGAAGACGGUACCCUGAAAACAAGCCACGGCUAACUACGUGCCAGCAGCCGCGGUAAUACGUAGGUGGCAAGCGUUGUCCGGAUUUGCUGGGUGUAAAGGGCGUGUAGCCGGGAAGGCAAGUCAGAUGUGAAAUCCGGAGGCUCAACUUCCGAAUUGCAUUUGAAACUGUUUGUCUUGAGUACUGGAGAGGCAGACGGAAUUCCUUGUGUAGCGGUGAAAUGCGUAGAUAUAAGGAGGAACACCAUUAGCGAAGGCGGUCUGCUGGACAGCAACUGACGGUGAGGCGCGAAAGCGUGGGGAGCAAACAGGAUUAGAUACCCUCGUA
rnacentral:rRNA from 1 species